AAUUAGGAAUAAGAAUAUGGUCAGCUACAA
rnacentral:piRNA from 1 species